rnacentral:rRNA from 1 species
AUUGAACGCUGGCGGCAGGCCUAACACAUGCAAGUCGAAUGGUAACAGGAAACAGCUUGCUGUUUCGCUGACGUGUGGCGGACGGGUGAGUAAUGUCUGGGAAACUGCCUGAUGGAGGGGGAUAACUACUGGAAACGGUAGCUAAUACCGCAUAACGUCGCAAGACCAAAGAGGGGGACCUUCGGGCCUCUUGCCAUCAGAUGUGCCCAGAUGGGAUUAGCUAGUAGGUGGGGUAACGGCUCUCCUAGGCGACGAUCCCUAGCUGGUCUGAGAGGAUGACCAGCCACACUGGAACUGAGACACGGUCCAGACUCCUACGGGAGGCAGCAGUGGGGAAUAUUGCACAAUGGGCGCAAGCCUGAUGCAGCCAUGCCGCGUGUAUGAAGAAGGCCUUCGGGUUGUAAAGUACUUUCAGCGGGGAGGAAGGGAGUAAAGUUAAUACCUUUGCUCAUUGACGUUACCCGCAGAAGAAGCACCGGCUAACUCCGUG